rnacentral:rRNA from 1 species
AUCUAUGAUCACACCACGUUGAAAGCACCGCAUCCCGCCCGAUCUGCGAAGUUAAGCGAAGUAAAGUGUUAAGCAUAGAAA